AUACGGAGGAUCCGAGCGUUAUCCGGAUUUAUUGGGUUUAAAGGGUGCGCAGGCGGCCAUUUAAGUCAGCGGUUAAAUCGUGGGGCUCAACCCCAUUCUGCCGUUGAUACUGGGUGGCUUGAUUGCGGUCGAGGUUGGCGGAAUUCGUUGUGUAGCGGUGAAAUGCAUAGAUAUGACGAAGAACACCGAUUGCGUAGGCAGCUGACCAGACCGCAAAUGACGCUCAUGCACGAAAGUGCGGGGAUCGAACAGGAUUAGAUACCCUGGUAGUCCGCACAGUAAACGAUGAAUACUAGGUGUUGGGAGGAACUAUCCUUUCGGUGCCGCAGCAAACGCAAUAAGUAUUCCACCUGGGGAGUACGUUCGCAAGAAUGAAACUCAAAGGAAUUGACGGGG
rnacentral:rRNA from 1 species